UGAGGAAUAUUGGUCAAUGGACGGAAGUCUGAACCAGCCAUGCCGCGUGCAGGAUGACGGCCCUAUGGGUUGUAAACUGCUUUUAUUCGGGAAUAAACCUCUUUACGAGUAGAGAGCUGAAGGUACCGAACGAAUAAGCACCGGCUAACUCCGUGCCAGCAGCCGCGGUAAUACGGAGGGUGCAAGCGUUAUCCGGAAUCAUUGGGUUUAAAGGGUCCGCAGGCGGAUAUAUAAGUCAGUGGUGAAAUCCUACAGCUUAACUGUAGAACUGCCUUUGAUACUUUUAUUCUUGAGUUCGGGAGAGAGAGACGGAAUUCCAGGUGUAGUGGUGAAAUACGUAGAUAUCUGGAAGAACACCAGUUUCGAAGGCGGUCUCUUGGUCCGACACUGACGCUGAGGCGCGAAAGCGUGGGGAGCAAACA
rnacentral:rRNA from 1 species